rnacentral:tRNA from 1 species
UGCAAAGUAGAUUAAUCUGGUAGAUCACAAGGCUCAUAACCUUGAGGUCAUGGGUUCAAAUCCCAUCUCUGCCA